rnacentral:rRNA from 1 species
GUGCCAGCAGCCGCGGUAAUACGUAGGGAGCAAGCGUUAUCCGAAUUUAUUGGGUGUAAAGCGUGUGUAGGCGGUUUAUUAAGUUCAAGGUUUAAUUCCGAAGCUUAACUUCGGUUCGCCUUGAAAACUGAUUUACUUGAGUGUGGUAGAGGCAAAUGGAAUUUCUAGUGUAGCGGUAAAAUGCUUAGAUAUUAGAAGGAACACCAGUGGCGAAGGCGAUUUGCUGGGCCAUUACUGACGCUGAGGCACGAAAGCGUGGGGAGCAAAUAGGAUUAGAUACCCUAGUAGUCCACGCCGUAAACGAUGAAUACUAAGUAUCGGGGUUACUCGGUGCUGAAGUUAACGCAUUAAGUAUUCCACCUGAGUAGUACGGUCGCAAGGCUGAAACUUAAAGGAAUUGACGGGCACCCGCACAAGCGGUGGAGCAUGCUGUUUAAUUCGAAGAUACGCGAAGAACCUUACCUAGGCUUGACAUCCCGAUGACAGUCUUGGAAACAAGAUUUUCUCUUCGGAGACAUUGGUGACAGGUGGUGCAUGGUUGUCGUCAGCUCGUGUCGUGAGAUGUUCGGUUAAGUCCGACAACGAGCGCAACCCUCGCCCUUAAUUGCUAACAUUUAGUUGAGAACCUUAAGGGGACUGCCGGUGAUAAACCGGAGGAAGGUGGGGAUGAUGUCAAAUCAUCAUGCCCCUUACGUCUAGGGCUACAGGCGUGCUACAAUGGCCGAUACAAUGAGACGCGAUACCGCGAGGUGGAGCAAAUCUAUAAAGUCGGUCCCAGUCCGGAUUGAAGUCUGCAACUCGACUUCAUGAAGUUGGAAUCGCUAGUAAUCCCAAAUCAGAAUGUUGGGGUGAAUGCGUUCCCGGGUGUUGCACACACCGCCCGU